ACUGCGCAGAGAGGGAGAGCUGUGCAGCGCCCCUUCAGCGAAGCACCUCUCCCACGAAGCGGGAGGGGGAACGGAACCCCUUCUGUUCCUCCUCCAGCUUCGCUGAAGGGGUGCUGCGCAGCUCUCCCUCUCUGUGCAGU